GGGGAAGGCUCUCUUCUGAAGAUCCACUCUGCUGGAGUUUCAUAAGUGAGCCUAGUACAUAACGUCCUCUUCAUCGCUCUUCGGAAGGUGUGACACUCUUGGGCAUUCAACAAGCCUAUUUGAGAGCUCACACAGCAGAUGGUAAAACGUUGCUGUUUGGUAUUUAGCGUUCUUCGAGGAUAACCGAAGCCUUAAGUGAUGGCAACAUAAGGCUUUAUAGAGAUCCUUGAUAUAGGUUCAUUGUUAGAAUACAGUUGAAGCAUCUAAAGGAGAGUGAUGAAGAUGAUGAAAGGCCUAGAAGACAACUAAGGCCCCAGGUUUGCUCAGCCCAGAGCAGAGGAGCUGAGGAGAAGCCUCAUGGUGGCUGCAGCUCUUCACAGGGAGCAGAGGGGCAGUGCUGAGCUCUGCUCUCUGUGACAGCCACAGGGCCCGAGGGAAUAGCAUGGAACUGCGGAUUAGAGCAGGUGCCUUCAUGCAUAUGGUUUGAAUGUUGGGUGGUCCUAUGUGGAGCCAGCAGUUGGACUCAAUGAUCCUUGGGUUGCUUCCAGUUAUGUGACCAAGCUAUCCCACUGUAAUUCUGCUGCUGAAGAAAGAUGGAGUCAAAGCACUGCUAUACUGUUCCUGGAGAGACUCUAUUUGGAUGGAAAGAGAUAAAUAGGAUGCCUUUCCAUUCAUGUUGUGUAAAUGUAACCUGGGAAAGAGUUGAAGCAUCUGUGGACAGUUGGCUGGGGCCUGUGGGCCACCUGUAUCUGACCCACUUAUCUUUGUGAUUAGUCAAAUUAACAAUAACAAAAGUUUUCAAAAUGUUAGGAGCCUAUGCUCCAAGAAUUUAACCUUGCAGAGUAACUAUGUGUACUCCUUCAGAUGCAAGAGUAAUUUUUAUGAAUGUUAAAAAAUUUAUGCGCUUUUCUCUAUAUAGUAGUUCUAAUCUUGAUGACUUUUUGUUAAAAUACAAAUUAUUAUUCCAAUUAGUCUGGAGUGAUCAGUUCUAUUAAUUUAAUAGUUCUAAAGGAAGGUGGUGAUAGUUGUUAUUUAAGAUAUAGAAAUUAAACAAGUUAUUAUUUUAAACAGUUAAGCAAAAAGAAUGCCACUGCCUUAAAUUUCAGUAUGCCUUCAAUAUCUCUGCCCCAGUUACUUCAAAUGACACAGUUAGCAUGUUACCCUCACAGGAAUGGCUCUUAUUUAUACAAGUUUUUCUGUAAUUUAACCUAGGUACAACUAUUUUGACACACUGAGGGACAAACUUCAGAGCCCAAAAAUAUUUUUGCAGUAAGACACCUGUCACAUAAUAUUUAAAAGAAUUGCAUGUGUUUGCAGGAGAGUAAAAUGCUUGCAUAUUUUUUGGAAUUAUUUCAUGCAUUUGAAUGCCUAAAUGCUCCUUAUAUUUUGCCUGCUAUUUUGAUCUUUACUCUUUAUUGUAUUUAUGGACAAUUUCUAAAUGAUAGGAUUUAAAGGGAGACUCUCUGAAUCAAGAAAUAAGUUUUAUUACUUUGUUGUAAAUAAGUUGUCCAAAAGUCGAAGUAUUUAGUCUGAGCUGGCAAAAUGCCUACAGUGAAUGAUGAAAAAUCACUACUUAUAAAUGCAUGAAAUACAAUGCUGUGUAGAAACCUUUUUGAUAUUCUAGAUCACUUACAUAUGUAGUGGUUGCAGCUACAAAACAAAAAGAAGUUUUCUACAGGUCUUGAAACAGGACAGGUGACACACAGCCCAGUUUAAAAUGAUAUUCAAGAUGUAGCCAUGUUGGAGGAUACAGCAGCAGUAUUGCAUUAUUUAUUUAGUAUAUGUUAACAUUUCCUCCAAUUGGUAUAAAAACCCUUCCCUAGAGUCUUCACUAAAUGGAUAACACAGAACAUUACAAGGGUGAGCAAUGUACAUCUUAGAGUGUAUUAAUAUAUCAAGCAGAAGUGAUUAUGCAUAUGAAGUCCAUGUAGUAUAAAAACAAGCAAACAAGGAACUGGCUGCUGAGUCAAAAACAUCACAGUAAACAGGAGCUAUUGAUUCAGCAGGGUUUCUACACUGCCAAAAAUUGAUGGCUUCACUAGAGUGCAAAAAUAUGAAACAGACAUUAUUGAAUAAAAAGCUGUGAAAUUUAAUUACUCAAA